AUGCGUGGGAGUGGGUGGAGCUUCUGUCCUUCUCAGCCUGCUCAUUGGAAGGCCCUGAAGGUUUCAGGUCUCACCUUCUUGUGAGCAGGGCAUGGGGUGGGAGCAGGUGGUAGGAAGGCAAGAUGAACAUGUUCAUGGUUCCCCUGGUCUUCGUGGCGGCUGUCACAGGAGCUGAUCAGGGACGAGCCACUGGGCCGCAUCUCCAGCCCCAUCCGGCAGAAGGCCAUGGCCAUCAUCGCCGACGUCAGGAAUCUCAGGCCGGUCUUGGACGCAGACAGCAGAGAAGAGCUCCUCGUCACGUGCUGCGAGAGUGUGCUCUGCCUGCCCGCCUCCGAGGGCCUGGCCGAGGAGGUGUCCGAUCCCAGCGAGGGCCGGGCUAACGUGGGCCUGUUCAGCAUGACCAUGCAGUCUCUCCGGAGUCUCCUGGAGGCAUUGGUCACGGAGAAGCCCACUGAGAUCCAGUCCUGCUUGGAGGUGAGUGAGGAGGAACCCUUGAAAGUUGGUGUGUUUGUUUCCUAGGACUCCCGUAAAAUGGCACAACUGGCUGGCUUGUACAGCAGGAAUUUAUUCUCUCUCAGAUGUGAAGGCUAGACUUCCAAAUUC
rnacentral:lncRNA from 1 species